rnacentral:rRNA from 2 species
GGCACGGGGAGGUAGUGACGAAAAAUAACGAUACGGGACUCAUCCGAGGCCCCGUAAUCGGAAUGAGUAUACUCUAAAUCCUUAUACGAGUAUCAAUUGGAGGGCAAGUCUGGUGCCAGCAGCCGCGGUAAUUCCAGCUCCAAUAGCGUAUAUUAAAGUUGUUGCGGUUAAAAAGCUCGUAGUUGGAUCUGUGUCCCGCGCCGUCGGUUCACCGCCUGUCGGUGUUCAACUGGCGUGUAUGCGGGACGUCCUGCCGGUGGCGGUCCGGUUCCCCGCAGGUUCGUAGGGGUCGUCCUUGCUUUGCUUGCGGCGUCCCCGAAGGCUUGCGCGGUGUAUCCGGCCGCCUUUUCGAUCCCGUCGCGGUGCUCUUCACCGAGUGUCGAGGCGGGCCGGCACGUUUACUUUGAACAAAUUAGAGUGCUUUAAGCAGGCCCUGUCAUGCCUGUAUGUUGUGUGCAUGGAAUAAUGGAAUAGGACCUCGGUUCUAUUUUGUUGGUUUUCGGAAUCUGAGGUAAUGAUCAAUGGGGACAGGCGGGGGCAUUCGUAUUGCGACGUUAGAGGUGAAAUUCUUGGAUCGUCGCAAGACGGACCGAAGCGAAAGCAUUUGCCAAGUAUGUUCUCGUCGAUCAAGAACGAAAGUUAGAGGUUCGAAGGCGAUCAGAUACCGCCCUAGUUCUAACCAUAAACUAUGCCUGCCAGCGAUCCGCCGAAGUUCCUCCGAUGACUCGGCGGGCAGCUUCCGGGAAACCAGAGCUUUUGGGUUCCGGGGGAAGUAUGGUUGCAAAGCUGAAACUUAAAGGAAUUGACGGAUGGGCACCACCAGGAGUGGAGCCUGCGGCUUAAUUUGACUCAACACGGGAAAACUCACCAGGCCCGGACACCGGAAGGAUUGACAGAUUGAGAGCUCUUUCUUGAUUCGGUGGGUGGUGGUGCAUGGCCGUUCUUAGUUGGUGGAGCGAUUUGUCUGGUUAAUUCCGAUAACGAACGAGACUCUAGCCUACUAACUAGGCGUACCCGGUAUCCACAAUCGUGCUACCGGCGAUCAAAUUUCUUCUUAGAGGGACAGGCGGCUUCUAGCCGCACGAGACUGAGCAAUAACAGGUCUGUGAUGCCCUUAGAUGUCCUGGGCCGCACGCGCGCUACACUGAAGGAAUCAGCGUGUCUUCCCUGUCCGAAAGGACCGGGUAAUCCGCUGAACCUCCUUUGUGCUAGGGAUUGGGGCUUGCAAUUGUUCCCCAUGAACGAGGAAUUCCCAGUAAGCGCGAGUCAUAAGCUCGCGUUGAUUACGUCCCUGCCCUUGUACAC